CGGGUACUCGAUGUGUAAGACCCCGGCGUCUAACCGGGAACGGGGUCGAUUGGAAACUGGUUUACUUGUAGUACAGAAGAGGAGAGUGGAAUUCCAUGUGUAGCGGUGAAAUGCGCAGAGAUAUGGAGGAACACCAGUGGCGAAGGCGGCUCUCUGGUCUGUUACUGACGCUGAGGUGCGAAAGCGUGGGGAUCAAACAGGAUUAGAUACCCUGGUAGUCCACGCCGUAAACGAUGAGUGCUAAGUGUUGGGGGGUUUCCGCCCCUCAGUGCUGCAGCUAACGCAUUAAGCACUCCGCCUGGGGAGUACGACCGCAAGGUUGAAACUCAAAGGAAUUGACGGGGACCCGCACAAGCGGUGGAGUAUGUGGUUUAAUUCGAAGCAACGCGAAGAACCUUACCAGGGCUUGACAUCCUACUAACGAAGCAGAGAUGCAUUAGGUGCCCUUCGGGGAAAGUAGAGACAGGUGGUGCAUGGUUGUCGUCAGCUCGUGUCGUGAGAUGUUGGGUUAAGUCCCGCAACGAGCGCAACCCUUAUUGUUAGUUGCUAC
rnacentral:rRNA from 1 species